rnacentral:rRNA from 1 species
AAAACUAGCCAGUAUUUUGGGUAUGAAACCCAUUUGGGCGAGAGUAGUACUAGGAUGGGUGACCUCCUGGGAAGUCCUCGUGUAAGGGUUU